CUCCCUGAUCAGUGCCUACUUCUCCAUGGCCAAACAGGCCAAUUGGUCCGCUGGCAUCAUCUAAGCAAUGACAGUUUCUCAAGAAAUUCGCGCCUUCAAAAGAUAGAAGAAAUCUAAAAUCAUGAUUACAUACUGCUUGCUAAUCGUGAGUCUCCCUAUCCGCCCACUACUUGUUCAGCUCGAUAUAGGACAAAAAUGAAAUCAAUCCAGUGACACUCCAAUCAACCAAAACCAAGUAUCUCCCCAAAGUAGCAGCAGAUGUAGCCAGGGCUAGGGCCGGGCACUCCAUGGCCGGUGCCCUCGGUGCAGAAGGUUUGUCAAUCCCCUUACAGCUGGACAUCAUCUUGAAGAGGGCAUCGAGCGGGAUCCAUUUUGCCGGUUAGAGCCGACGAGGCCAAGGAUGGCGGCAGUGGCGGCUUGGGUAUGCGGUGGCAGCGGUAGGCAAUGCGAUGCGAGGAAGGGAUGGACAAGCGGAUUGAUCUAUUUUUUUCUGAAGAAGUAUAUGUAAUCAGUGGUAUUGGUGGGUAAUUUCUACCUAACUCCAAAAAAGUAUGAAACCUGUAUUUUCGGAACACCUUUUGAGGUGUUCCAGAAAAACUUCGAAGUUGCCCUCUAGAUCCACCUUUUUCUGGAGUUGGGAUUGUUAGAGCUGGAGGUGUUUGGCGAGAUAGUUUUGGAGCGGAGCUGAAAAAACUGGAGCGGAGCUGAAAAAACUGGAGUGGAGCAGUCCCUAACACACCCUAAAUUAUGUGCUUACUCAAGCUGGAUUUUUUACUCUUCAGAAGGUGAAGCGAGAUGUUUCCUUUGAAAAAAAUUAUAAAUAAAUUUAUCAUGAUAAUGUUACUGUUGCUGGAUUUAUAUGUGGAUAGUGGCAUAUACCAAAUGUUGAUCAUAGCAGCGCAGCUGCUGCCUCCUAGUCCCCUCCUUUCUAUCUGGUGAGCUCGCCUGUGAGUGUUCAUUAGGUUCUACCAGCCCAUUAGGUUUUAGUCCAAAUAAAUCUAACAGCGAAGUCAUUACCGAUGUUUGGCCAUGACAAGGUCACCAUUGUGGUCAUCGAUUUCUUCGGCAGGAGGUCAGUUUGUGGUCUCUAUUUGCGAAGGGAUGAGUGCUCCUAGGCGCUCCCCAUGUGAGUAGUAGGUCUGGGUCAUUGACCUCGCCGUUGAUGGCCACAGAGUGGAAUCAGGCAUCCACCUUUAUGGUUCAAGGGGUGGAGGUGCUGUAUCUACUUCCUCUGCUGUACUCGUUGAUGCAACCACCUAUGUUCUUUCAUUACUUCAGAUGCAUUUCAGUCUGGUUCCAGAACAUUAGGUCUUGCUGCAUCAUGUCUGAUGUUUUGGGGUUUGUCGGCAGAUUUGGCACGAGGAUUGUAAUCUGCCUCGGCGUUUGCUCUGUUUGUCUGGAGCAUCGCCAACACCAACAAUGAAGGCCACUGGGGAAGAAGACUACGGAGGGAUCUAGAUGGAUUAUGGAUAUUGCAUUUUCAGGUUCCCCGUUUCCAAUUUGGGGAUGUAGUGUGCCAACUCAUUAAUCUAAUCCCCCUUCCUUGAAAAAUACGAUGAAGCAUUAAUUAGUUUACUUUGUUAUAUAAGUUUUCUUGAAUUUGUGCUUGGCUGAGGUCUUUGAUAUAAUUUUGGGAGAUUUUGCCGUACUAUUUUUUUGUAUAAUUGCCUGGAGAAUAUCACUGCAUAGGGGAGCCUGGAGAAGCAGCUGAUCCCCGGCAUUGUGUCCUGAAUCCUGUGACUCCUGGACGCACUCAAAGGAGCUGCCGAAUAGCGAUAGGUGUUUUUACUCAUUAACUCAAUUUGCAGUGUCUAGGCUGCCAUUGCUAAUAACCAUCAAUUGACUGCAGCCCUGUUGAAAUUUUGUGGUUGCUUCUCUAAGAAUGCAGACUGUGUUUUUUUUGUUGGGAGUUUGCCAUAAUCUGUUCGCGAGAUUGCCCACCCAUAUCCGCUCAUCUCAUCUGCCAGCACAAUUGCACAUGCCCGGCCGGUCGACCGGCGGCUGCAGAAGAAGCACGCAGAGUGGAGCUGAUUCCCCAUUCCCGGCGGCUGAUGCCGAGAGAGCAACUUCCCCAAAGACCAUGCCUGCCCUUUUCUUAUCCAAAAGCGCAGAGCCAUGCUGCCGAUCGCUGAGAACAGCGAACACUCGACGACGGCCGCUGCUGAUGCCGAAGAACAGCCCAUAGCCCCAUACCAUGCACCCUCCUCCCCGUCGAUGAGCGAGACAACAGACAUGAUGGAAACGGGACGGGGAGAACCUUCUUCUCAAAGCCCAAUAUUUUAGCCCCAAUAAUGCGUGCAUAAGUGCACCAUAGAUAGCAGUGUACCAGCGACUCAGCGAGACACACACGAUGCAUCGCAUCGCAAGCUACUGUGCUUAGCGGUAUGUGGCUGGCACUGUUUAGUUACAGGAUUAUUCAGACACGAAUCUGAUCUGGCAUCUCCUGCACAGAGCAAGAGCAUGGCAUUGUGCGCGGAGAAACGCUAGAAAAACAAAACUGAAGGGACAGGCGCGCCCCUGGAAGCUGUAGCAGGUCAACCGAUUCCUACUACUUGCUUGGAGCUGCCAUGUGACGCCAUUGUCGCGCCGAGCAGUGCCCGAAAGGUACUACUAUUCCUUUUUAUUGACUUGAUGAUCCAUUUCUUUUUUUUAGAAUUCAAGAGGGGUUGCCACCUAGGCUUGAUGAUCCAUUGAAGCGGGCUUGUGCUCAAAGCUGCCGAUUAUAUUAAAAAGAAGGAUAAAUCUAAUUUGGGCAAACAAUAAAGAAACAACACCGACCGGUUGGAUUGGGACAUCAACCUGCGCUGUACUACGCCAACGCACUACUCAAACUCAACUCAACCACACAAAAUCAGCCGGUUGGAUUGAACCAUCAACCGGAUCUCUCUCAACUCUGGCCAGUCGGAUUGGGACAUCGACACGAGCCUCAGCGAAAACUCCACCCGAUCAGAUUGGGACAUCGAUCUGAGCCUCCACGAACUCUGGCUGGUCGAAUUGGGAUGUCAACACGAGCCACCGAUCCUCUCUCCUUUUCUCUUUUCCUUUUUUUUUGAAGAAAAGGAAAAGACAAAGAAAGGAAAAUAAAGAAAAGCGCCCUUUCGGAAGCAGCCGUCGCCGAAGCAAGCCUCCUUAGCGGAAUUGCCUGACAUCCCCUUCAAGAAGGUCAUGAUGUCAAAGAUGUCGUCGAUGCCAGCCCAAACUAGGUUGGGUUUUCACCCGCCACAUCUGAUAGGGAAGACCGGUGACCUUGACGUUGGCCCCAGUCAGUCAGGAGCUAAGCUCGCCAGAGAUGCCCGAUGUCACCUUCAGGAAGGGCAUGACGCCAAUGGCGCCAUCGACGCCGUCCCAAGGAGGGAUGGGUUUCACCCACAUUGUCAUCACGUUGUAAAGAGACGGCCGGUGCCACCAGCCCCACCAGCAUAGUGCUGCAGGUGAGCCUCCGCAUGGUCGCAGCCAACGACGCCUCCACGACGAGGUUAGCAUACGCCCGAGCAAACCGUUAUCGGCACACACCACUACGGCACCAUCGACACACCGCUGCAUAGAACAAUGAGAUGUCAGCACCAUGGAGCCCGCCCGCGCGCUAGGUCGAAUUGGCACCGGCACCUUGGAGCCCUCCACCGCCAGGGCAGGCUGCGACGCCGCUAGAGUGCCUAGCCGCCGUAGCCGCUGGGUGACACCGUGCGCCGGCUAUGGGUGCUGCCACCGCUGGACCACACCAUGCGCCGCCGCAACCGGUCAACGUGCACCGGCCGCACGCGCCGUCGAAGCUGGGCCCGCCGUUGCUGUCGGAAGAGCAGCCGCCGCGCGCCGGCCGCAGAUGCCGUUGCAGCUGGGAAGAACGGCCGCCUCGCGCCGAUCACGGACGCCAUCGCAGCCGGGAAGAACGGCCGCGCCAGAUGGGCCACGCCUCGUGCUGGCUGUGAACGCUGCCGCAGCCGAGCCACGUCGCAUGCCCUGAAUCGCAGCCGCCACCACUGCCGCCCAGGUUGCGUGCUGCUGAAGCGGGCAGCCGCCACUGCCGCAACAACAGUGUGAUGGAAGGGCUUCAAGGCAAAGGUUGAGAGCCUCCCACCGUCGCCACCGACGGAUGGAGGGCCCCGCCGCCGGACCUAGCUGCCACAACCCUGAGCCUCCCACUGUCGCCACCGACGGAUGGAGGGCCCCGCCGCCGGACCUAGCUGCCACAACCCUGACCAUCAUAGGAGACCGACGAAGCGGAACACGCAGAUCCGGGCAUGAGACGAGUAGAUCCAUCCUCUCCGGGCAUGGAUCUCGAUCCCCACGGAACUUGGGUCCCAGCAAACCACGACAUGCAAGCACCGAUAACCACUUCUAGGUGUGAAGAAGAAGGCUUGUACUUAGGGCGUGUUUAAUCCUCAGGCUAAAGUUUAACCCUUAUCACGUUGAAUGUUCGGAUGCUAAUUAGAAAGACUAAACAUGAGCUAAUUAUAAAACUAAUUGCAGAAGUUAUGGGCUAAUUCGCGAGACGAAUCUAUUAAGCCUAAUUAAUCCAUCAUUAGCAAAGGGUUACUGUAGCACCACAAUGUCAAAUCAUAGACUAAUUAGACUUAAUAGAUUCGUCUCGUGAAUUAGCCUCCACUGUACAAUUAGUUUUAUAAUUAAUUUAUAUUUAAUACUCUUAAUUAGUAUCAAUCAUCCAAAUACCCCCUUACUCGAAAGCACGAAGGAACAGCUCGUGAUCCAAGCAGUUGUUGGAUUGGAUCCUGCACUGACGAUCCAAACACGAUCUCGAUCGGCGAGUGCGCUGCGACAGUAUAUAGGACGAAACAGUGCGGGCUGACCUGGUACUGUCACAAUUCCAACCUCAUUCAGCUUUCCCCUUUCGUUCAUCCCUUCCCUCGCCUUGUCAUCGUCCAGGCCCUGUACAGAGCCACAGUGACGCAGCGACCGAGCAAUGCGCACGCGAUCUGAUCCUCGUGUCACUCACUCGAUCGCGGCCGCGACUACCGGGAGAAAGGAGCUAGCGCUGCCGCCGCGAUCGUGUUUACCCGUCGCCCCCGGGCGAUAAUCGAUCGCCGUCGCGACGCCGGCCGCUGCCGGGUCAAAGCCAAUCAGACCAGAAGGGGGCGCAGCUCGCGACGGCACGCCCGCGAGCACUGCCGCCGCGGUGGUGCGCGCGGCCGAUCGCGAGGUAUCCCGCGAGGCCAUGUUUUUUUCCCGGCGGGGGCGGGGCAGUGCCGGUGCGUGCAUCUCCUGUCGCUCUCGGUCGCCGCCACCGCGCGCACUCGCGUCGUGUCCGUCGACCCAAAUAUUUCGUGUGUAUUCUUGAUCUGAAUGGCGAUGCGUUUUCACCCCAUGUGGGUUGAUCGGCCGAGGUACUGAGCGUCUGAGCUUAUCCGUCGCCAUCGAGCUUGAGGCAACUAAUCGUGAGUGCAUUACCGCCAUCGGUCGGCAUCACUGUGCAGCCAGAUGCACUUGCUUUGAUUAGGUAGCUGUAGGCUGUAGCUCACCGCCAAAAUUGAUUUAAUUGCAAACGACAUGUAACACUGUACCAUUGAAACUGGCCAACUCCCCUCCUUAUUGCCAUCAAAUUCUCCACGGAAGAUGCUAUGGAACAAAGAGUAGUUAGCAAUUUUGAUCCUUUUCUUCCUGUAAGUAAACCAACUAAAUUAAAC
rnacentral:lncRNA from 1 species